AACAGCCAAAAUGGUGAAGAUUUGCUGCAUCGGAGCUGGCUACGUCGGUGGCCCAACAAUGGCUGUCAUUGCCAUCAAGUGCCCAUCAAUUGAGGUUGUUGUCGUCGAUAUCUCCAAGCCUCGCAUUGACACCUGGAACAGUGACACCCUCCCGAUCUACGAGCCUGGCCUCGAUGAUGUUGUCAAGGCCUGCAGGGGCAAGAACCUCUUCUUCACCACCGAUGUCAAGAAGCACGUCGCCGAGGCCGACAUCAUCUUCGUCUCGGUGAACACUCCCACCAAGACCCGUGGUCUUGGAGCCGGCAAGGCUGCGGACCUCACCUACUGGGAAAGUGCUGCCCGUAUGAUCGCCGAUGUCUCCAAGUCUGACAAGAUCGUUGUCGAGAAGUCCACCGUCCCUGUGAAGACCGCAGAGGCCAUUGCUUCUGGUGUUCGUUGCGCAUCCUCUCACCCCUGAAACCAUGAAUCCCUCUGCCCCCAAACCAUGUCCCGGACACUACCCAAACCCUAUCCCGCACACCACUCUGGUGUUCAUCGUCAGACUGCACCGGUGGCCUCACCAAUUUCACCCUGUCCUCUUUUGAUGUUUAUCCUUGCCCAACAACGGCAAGAUCUCUGUCCUGCAAAUUGCAAUGGUGGCCACACAUGUUGCUUUCCACAAAUCACUCACUCCCUUCAAACUAUUGAUGCAUCAGCGGAUUUAAUACUGAGAGAUUAUGUAAUUUCUCUAUAGACUUCAUAUCACAAGGAUGGGUGAUGAUUGGGAAAGCAUUGUUGUGCUCCCCCGCUCUUUCAAAUUCAGCCAACAAGACAAGUCAGCAUAAUUUGCUUUCUGCUCCAAUAUUCAGGCUCGGGGAACAUACAAAAUAUACCAUCUAUUGUGACUCAGACGAUCUGUAUCAAGGAAGCAAUUUGGGUGUCAAAGGCUGAGAUGAGGCCGAGCUGGGUGUUGAACAGGACCUGCCCCAUGCGACAAUCCACUCUGGUGAGGAACCCGGCGAUGAGUGCGCGCACAUGCACGGCCUGCCUCUCCCACCGGCGGCGGUGCACCCGUGCGCAAGUUUACCUGUUGGCGGACACCCAGUGCGCCGGCAUCUUCUGAAAUUCACCAAUCAUCAAUGUACUGAUAGCUAAGUGUUUACAAGAGUUAUCUUACACGAGCAGAGCAGAUUCCAGAUCAAAGGUAGUUAAUCUAUUAUUAUGUUCCUUCUUGUUUACUGCAAUCAAAUGUACUAAUAGGGCUUAGUUCAAUCCUGUAGAUCAGCUAUAGUUUACUGCAAGGUAUUCUUGAUGGUGCAUCACAGGAGUAUGACACCAUUCUGUGAUCACCCCUUAUUCCUUGCACUCUAAUUAUGAAAUGUGCAAG